CUGGCUCAGGAUGAACGCUACCGGCAGGCCUAACACAUGCAAGUCGAGGGGUAACAUUGGUUGCUUGCAACCAGAUGACGACCGGCGCACGGGUGCGUAACGCGUAUGCAAUCUGCCUUGUACUGGGGGAUAGCCUUUGGAAACGAAGAUUAACACCCCAUAGCCUAUAGUUGUGGCAUCACAUUUAUAGUAAAGGUUACGGUACAAGAUGAGCAUGCGUCCUAUUAGCUUGUUGGUGUGGUAACGGCACACCAAGGCUACGAUAGGUAGGGGCCCUGAGAGGGGGAUCCCCCACACUGGUACUGAGACACGGACCAGACUCCUACGGGAGGCAGCAGUGAGGAAUAUUGGACAAUGGGGGCAACCCUGAUCCAGCCAUGCCGCGUGCAGGAAGACUGCCCUAUGGGUUGUAAACUGCUUUUGUACGGGAAGAAACACCCCCACGUGUGGGGGCUUGACGGUACCGUAAGAAUAAGGAUCGGCUAACUCCGUGCCAGCAGCCGCGGUAAUACGGAGGAUCCGAGCGUUAUCCGGAAUCAUUGGGUUUAAAGGGUCCGUAGGCGGGCCAUUAAGUCAGGGGUGAAAGUUUGCGGCUCAACCGUAAAAUUGCCUUUGAUACUGGUGGUCUUGAAUCGUUGUGAAGUGGCUAGAAUGUGUAGUGUAGCGGUGAAAUGCAUAGAUAUUACACAGAAUACCGAUUGCGAAGGCAGGUCACUAACAACGCAUUGACGCUGAGGGACGAAAGCGUGGGGAGCGAACAGGAUUAGAUACCCUGGUAGUCCUGGCUGUAAACGAUGAAUACUGGGUUGGGGGAGCAUGUCUCUCCCAGCCGUAGCGAAAGCGUUAAGUAUUCCGCCUGGGGAGUAUGGUCGCAAGGCUGAAACUCAAAGGAAUUGACGGGGGCUCACACAAGCGGUGGAGGAUGUGGCUUAAUUCGAGGCAACGCGAAGAACCUUAUCCCGGACUUGACAUCUAUGGAUUAGCAUUGUGAAAGCAGUGUGACGCCUUCGGGUGGAACAUAGACAGGUGCUGCAUGGCUGUCGUCA
rnacentral:rRNA from 1 species